rnacentral:rRNA from 1 species
UACGUAGGCAGCGAGCGUUGUUCGGAGUUACUGGGCGUAAAGAGUGCGUAGGCGGUUUUCUAAGUUUGGUGUGAAAUCUCCCGGCUCAACUGGGAGGGUGCGCCGAAGACUGGAAGGCUUGAGUAUGGGAGAGGUAAGCGGAAUUCCUGGUGUAGCGGUGAAAUGCGUAGAUAUCGUAAGGAAGACCAGUGGCGAAGGCGGGUCUCUGGACAGUUCCUGACGCUGAGGCACGAAGGUCAGGGGAGCAAA